UGUGGCCAACAGUGUAGAAAUUGAUCAGCAUUCUGUUUUCUGUCCAGCUGACAUUCUGUUGAUGACAACACAAAGUAUCUGUUCAUGAGGUAGAAGCACUUGUCCACGCCGGUGGAGAAUCUUGGAACUGGAAGUGCCCUACUGUUAGCUUGUCGAACCACUGAGAGGAGAAGGCUGCAACAUUUGCACCUGGAAAAUCCCCUUCCACACUGAGUGUGAGUAUGGAAAAAUGCUCAUGAACAGGCGGGUGCAAAAGUAUCAUCAGAAUCUUUUCCAACAUGAAUCGGCUGCUGCAGUAGAACGAACUUAAUGGUGAAGGCAGUUGCAGAAGGACAAUGCCUCUUAGCUACACUGUAGGAAGCUUAUAGAAAGCUUCAUUUGUUGAUUUGGAGAUCUCUCAUUGCCGCACUUGAGCAUUUGUGUGGACUCAUGCAGCUUCUGAGUUGUUUCCUGAGUUGGACUAGGUUUGAAUGCUUCGCCUCCCUUCCUAAACCCUGCAAAACACAUGCAUACCGAAGGAACAAAUGGGAUAUGAAUGGUCAGAGCUUAGUGAGUUCAAACCCAGGUCCUGACUUUCAGCUGCUACCAAUCCCUCAAUAACAGCCUAUGUCCUGUGUGUCCUUGAUGUCUUGGUUUUUGGUCAGUUUUUCUUUUUAAUGUAAAUGUACAAUGAUU